UCCGGGCGGACGCCGAGUCCCGCCGCCACCCGGAUGACCGGUCGACAGGAGUGCAUCGGCGGGAGUGGAGGACCCAAGCACGACGGGUCGCCGGAACGUCAGCUCCCUGAAGGAGGUGCCGGGCCGAGCAGCCCUUGGGGUGAAGCCGCGCACGCGGCCGGGCAACUUCGCCAGCCCGAAUCCGACAGGUCAUCCUUCACAGGCGGCUGACGAAGGGUUG
rnacentral:sRNA from 2 species